UGCUUGCAAUCCUGAGUAGAGUGGCGCACGGGUGAGUAACACGUAGAUAAUCUACCUUCAAGCCUGGGAUAACUAUUCGAAAGGAUAGCUAAUACCGGAUAAAGUAAAUUAACAUAAGUUAAGCUAUGAAAGAUUGCCUCUUCUUGAAAGCAAUUGUUUGGAGAUGAGUCUGCGGACCAUUAGCUAGUUGGUGGGGUAAAGGCCUACCAAGGCUGCGAUGGUUAGCUGGUCUGAGAGGAUGAUCAGUCACACUGGAACUGGAACACGGUCCAGACUCCUACGGGAGGCAGCAGUGAGGAAUUUUGCGCAAUGGGGGAAACCCUGACGCAGCAACGCCGCGUGAGUGAAGAAGGCCUUUGGGUCGUAAAGCUCUGUCAACUGGGAAGAAGUUGUAGAUAUCCAAUAGGUAUUUGCAUUGACGGUACCAGUGGAGGAAGCGCCGGCUAACUCCGUGCCAGCAGCCGCGGUAACACGGGGGGCGCAAGCGUUAUUCGGAAUUAUUGGGCGUAAAGGGCGCGUAGGCGGUUUUGUCGGUCAGAUGUGAAAGCCCAGGGCUCAACCCUGGACGUGCAUUUGAAACAGCAAGACUUGAGUACGGGAGAGGAAAGCGGAAUUCCUGGUGUAGAGGUGAAAUUCGUAGAUAUCAGGAGGAACACCGAUGGCGAAGGCAGCUUUCUGGACCGAUACUGACGCUGAGGCGCGAAGGCGUGGGUAGCGAACAGGAUUAGAUACCCUGGUAGUCCACGCAGUAAACGAUGUUCACUAGGUGUAGCGGGUAUUAAAAUCUGCUGUGCCGGAGCUAACGCAUUAAGUGAACCGCCUGGGGAGUACGGUCGCAAG
rnacentral:rRNA from 1 species